AUGAUAUAUGAGAUGCGAUAUACAGUUGGUGGUUCACAAUAUGUGUGAACAGAUGCAUGAUAGCAUGAUUAUGAUUUUGAUAUUGAGCAGGAUGUGUAUCUAUGUAUUGGAACAUGAAAUUAGCAUAUGUGAGGUUUUGAACUCCAGAGCUUUUGAUUGAAGGAUUGCUAUUACUUUGAAAGCAUGAAUGACUUUGCCCAGGUUUCUAUGAUUAAAUCACUUUCUUGCAUGUGUCAUAUGAUCAAAGCCAUUUUUGAUUUAGCCCUUUCUUAGCCAACGCAAAAAGUUUCGUCCCGAUUAAAAAGAGCACAACGUGUUCUACCCUUUUUGAACCUAAGCCUUAAACAGUAAGAGAAAAACUUUUGCAAAUCUUUACCUUGAGUUAAGUUGAGAGUUAUUGUGUGGUAUUGAUAAAGGUUCAAGUUUGGGGCUGUUGGGAAAGUUGAAAAAAAAAGAUAAGAAUUAAGCUAAUGUGUUGAGCAGAACAUGAAAAGAUGAAAAAGACAGAAAAGAUAGAAUGAGAAGAAAAGCUCAAUGCAAAGAAAAGGAAAAGUUGGGGAUGAGUGAGAUUGGUUAUUAAAGAGAGUUUGUUCUUGAACUAUGAAUGUUGAAUAACUCUCUUAACUCAAGGAUUUUGUGAUCCAGAAAAAACCAAUUUUCUUCUUAGCCCAACCACGUUACAAGCUGUAAAAAGUCCUUGUGAUGAUAACUUGCUUGUGAGUAUGAUUGAUUGUGGUUAAAUGAAAGACAAAGUUAAAUUGUGUGACAUUGUGAUAGUAGAGAGAAUAAGUCACCUCAAUAUACACCUGUGUGCUUGAGUGAAACACUUUUCUGGCUGAGUAGUUCCAGUUAUACAUGAUUUCAUUUGUGCUUGG
rnacentral:lncRNA from 1 species